rnacentral:lncRNA from 1 species
UUCUUUCUUUUCAGGUCCCUUAUUUUCCUAAUAAUCCUUUGUUAAGUCUUCAUAUAUGACUUCAAAAUGAAUUUUUAUGGGGAAAUUUAAUUCGUAAACUCAAGCAAAGGCAUAGCGCCGCGCUCUCCCUCCUAGGAUUUUGAGGCACCAAGCAUAGUAGGUACGACAGAGGAAUACUCCUCGUCAGACCUGGUCAAGGCUGCUAUUCGGAGUUAGGACGACCACCGGAGGGUAGAUCGCCGGCGGCGGCGUCUGGUGGAGUUAGGACACAGAUGUGUGGGUGCCCAAUUUGGGUGUCCAUAACAUAUGGGCCUGGGUUCACAGCCCUUUGUUUUUGAAUGGGUGUUAGGCCUGGGGAUAAGUCUCUAGUUUGGUGAUUAUAUCUCUGUGCGUUUUUUUAUAAGUAUCAAAUUUGUUUCUUGUACCACAAUUACGUGAUUGACAUGAGGGAAGUUAGGUGUGAUAACUCGUAGAAGGCGAGAUUGAUCAUAGGAGUAGAGUGUUUGCUUAAAUUGUGAGCGUGCAAGGAUUGUUUACUAGUUUUAUGUUGCUUCUUAGGUUCUAAAUUUCUUUGUAAGUUACGUAGACUAGAACUGGUUUUAGCUAUUGUUCUAAUGAAAUGAACUUUACUUUAAAAAAAGUCUUCAUAUAUGAGGUCACCGACGUAGCUAUAGUCUUUCAUUUUUUUUUCUUCUCUUAUUUUUCUUAAUAUUUAUUGUAUUUUCUUUCUGUCUUUCUUCUUUCACAAAUUUUUGCGUUCUUUUUUUCCCAUCCAAUAGAUUCACUGAUUAUUGGUUCUACCGGCUAUAGAGUAGGCUAAAAUCUUAAUUAUACACGGGCCAGAAGACAUUAUACAAAUUAUAAAAGAAAGAGAAAUUUUAAAAGAAAGAGAAAUUUUAUUAGGGUCCGGUUCAAGGGACACAAUUUUUAACACAAAUUUUGACACAAAUUUUUAUCCCUUGGAUCUUAUUUGAACACAUGGUUGUUAUUGAUUGUGAACAUGAUUUGGCAAGUGACAUAGCAAUAAUAAUAUUUUCAAUAAAAAUAUAAAUUUUAAAUAUUUUUUUUAUUGGAAUUAAACAAUAUCUUUUAUAAAGAAAUUCUUUUACUCAAUCAAAAAACAAAUUCGUUUACAUCAUCGAACACCAACAUGGUGUUCUUCAAUGCGAAAAUGAAAAUCUCAGGUUUCCCUUUCUAUAUGACAAAGAGUUGUGCCCCUCUUCAAAUUAGGGUCAUAUCAAAUUCAGAAUUGACAUCUAAUUUGUUUUUAAACAAGCAAAUCGAUCUUCUUAAUUGAACUCUAUAAACUAAUAAGCAAUCCAAUCGAUUAGGGUUUGAGCAAACGCUAUCAUGAUUCAUAUGAACUAAGAUUAAUUAUGGACAUGAGUAACCCUUUCGUAUGGGUAUUAGAAAAUUCUAUGAUCUAAUCAUGAGCGUUAAUUCUUUGCUUUCAAAAUAUAUGCACUGGAAGGAAUCAAUCACCCUAUGAUUCAUAUUAACUACAAUCGUAUAUAUCUAAACUCGAUCUUCUUCAGUUUCCCUUCUUUUAAGAAGAAUACGAUCUUGAGUUAAUUGGUUAGGUAUUUUUGUUUCUUUGUUUUUCUUUUUGAUAAGAAGAUAUGGAUUUAUACGUUGAUAUGACCUCAAAUUCGGUGUUUUAUUUGAAGAGAAUUUGGACUUAUCAUUUUUGGUUGAGAUGAAUGUUCUUCGAUCUGCAGUUCAAUUUAUGUAAACGAAUUUAUUAAUUUGAUUUUCUUUAUAAAAGAAUUGUUUGAUUAAAAUUUAUUUACAUUUUUUAUUGAAAAUAUUAUUAUUGUCAUGUCAGUUGCCAAAUCAUAUUAACAAUCAAUAACAACCAUGUGAUCAACAAAGAUCCAAGGGUUAAAAAAUAAUGUCAAAAUUUGUGUCAAAAAUUGUGUCCCUUGAACCGGACUCAUUUUAUUAACACAUCCCUAAAUACUAGAUAUACAUCUUUUUUUUUUAUACAAAUUAUAUAGAUUACGUAAAAUUACCAAAAAAGACAUUCAUAUCAAAAAUAAAGAAACUUAGUUAAAAUAAAAUAUCUCGUUUAAGACGUCUAUAUUAACUAUUGUACUUCAAACACUUUUUAAUUUUUAGUUUGAAUCAAGUACCGAUAUGUUGACACCGCAUAUGAAUAUUAUGCAAUGGUUCCCAAUAAUCGAUUAAAUAUGAAAUGUGUAUCUAAUAAUUAGAGAUUGCAACGCCCCAAACUGCACCUCCUCACUUUAGGCAAAUCACAGUGCCGUGAGUCUCAAAAGGAGAAACGCACGACAGUUAAUGUAAGAAAACAUUUAAGAAAAACACAACAUAAGCGUAAAAAUAUUUUCAGGUGUAAAAUCUUUAUUUUCUCAGAGUAUUUUUAUUCGCCAAAAACCUGAUAUAAAGGAUGGCUAUGAAAUGACGAACUCAAAGUAACACAAACUCCAAAGAAAACGUCAUAAAAUAAACUCAUAAUAAAAUUGAACUCUUUCUUUCGCCUAAAACUCGAUUUAAGAAAUGACCAAUAAUUAACCAACUCUAAGGAAUAGAAUUACGAAUGACAUAACAAGACUAACAUAAUAGAAUCUAUAACAUGUAGCUCAGGUUCAAAAUUAAAGGGGACGACAUGGAAACCAAGUUACCGACCAUAAAUAUGCACACCCAACUCCUCGCCGUUAUCCCGUCCUAGUGCACAGUACCUGCAUCCACAAACUGUUGUAGGGGUGAGCUUUCGUCCUCGUUGCUCAAGGAAACUACCCUAGACUAGGUUUGAAAAUGAUAUGGGUACCCAGUAUAAUACAUGCUUAAAAUCAAAUAUAUAUAAUGAACGACAAACUUUUCAAAAAUAUUUCCAUAAUGAAAUAAAUGCGGCACCAUAAAACUGUACCUGAUGGCCGGUCAUAUAUUUGGACCCAUUAUCCAACUUACCUCACUAUAUAUGUGUACAACAGGUAAGUGUAGCAAGUGUCCACAAACGCCCUAUCGCCUAGAAGUAGUGCCACUCCACAAGGGAUGUAAGACACUCUUCCGUCCGGAGGUUUAGGGGAUCGAACCCAAGGUAGUCGCUAUGCUCCUCUCACUCUCAAGCCAUCAAUAUCUCAUAACACCGGUUACCAUAUUUUUAUCGGAUAACCAGAUCAUGCAAUCUCAAAUAUAACAUUUUAUAAAAUAAAAACCACUAAUCAAAGGAGUUCUGGGUCCCCUACCUGAAAUCCGUGGCUUUCCUCGCGAACUCCCAAAACGACGAGCCUUCCACUCCUCGGGUAAUUGGAGUCCCUAAUGUCCGACAUUUCAACCAUUAACAACUUAUCAAAUAAGCAUAAGCAAUUACGACGAAUAACUAAUCGUCAAAUCAACCUUUCCUGUAUUGACCAAGAUUGACUAAUUUGACCAACGAUUGACCAAACGAUAUUAAUAUUAGUUUUCACCAAUUUCACGAUUAGUUUCGAUUAACAAAUACUAAUCUCAAAAUACAACCCAACAUUUACUUUACUUUCGAAUAUCGUCGCAUAGUAAUAUUAUAAAAUUACUAUGGACACCCAUUGUAUUACUUCGUACUUUCCAACAUGAAUAUCUCAAUUUCAUGUCUAAUACCUUUAACAUAAUCACUUCAAUAGCAACUUAUAAACUGAUCACAGAUUUCCUGUUAUGAAACUAGAUAUCAAGAACCCAAACCAAUUCUCAUUCAUAAUGGGUCUAAUUCUAAUUCCCAUUCAAAGUCAAUAAUAACAAAUACAAUUCAUCACUAUUACUUUGAUACUAAUUUGCAUAUUCAACAAUUCGAUUUGCUAUGACCAGAGUAACUUGACAUAAAUUCUAUAAUAAGUUCCAAUCCUCUUUUCCUUUCCCUUAAACUCUUUGUACAAAACCAACAUCAUAUUCAUCACUUUUAACAAACUCAACUCAGCCUUAUACCUCACUUUUAACAAACUCAACUCAGCCUUAUACCUUUAAGCAUCAUAACCAUGCUCACAGUAAAACCAAUACAACUCAAAUAUCAUUAUUAUCAUUUAAUUUAUCAAACACCAACCAACAGCAAACUUCAAUUCCAAUCCAUACACAUCGGUCUUAUUUAAAUAUUUAUAUGAAAUUCCAAUUCAAGGUAAAGUAUACCUCUGAGAAUCAAACUCAGCAAAAUCAGCUUUCCAAACUUCAAUUAACAACGAACAGAGCAACUGACGCACUCCAAACUUCACCAACUUCUGGAAUUUGGCUCCAAUCAAACUCAAUGGUCACCCAUUUCGACAAACAACUUUUCCAAAUCUGUACAUAUAACUCCAACAUCCAAUUCAAUACAUAAGCACAUUCCAACAAUUCAACAUAUUCUCCAUAAUUACCAAAUUCUAAUCCCCCUUACCAUAUGAAAAAUUGUGCGAGACCAACUCUAAAACCACUCUCUACACCCAAAGAGUAGCUCGGUAGCAACCAAGUCUCUUACUGCUGCUUUUCUCUGCUUCCUUUCACCUCCGAAAUGCAGCAGCUAAUCCGACCUCCUUUACUGCCAUUCUUUCAUCCAAGCUUACGAAGGUCUGAUCAUCUCUCUAGUUGUACGGAGGCUCAGUAGCGCCGGAAAACUCAUCGGUGACGCCAAAAAUGUCGAACCCAGAAAUCCCAAAAUCGCAGAUCGAUUAGAACUCGAUCGAAAUUGAAAUCCAAUAACAAGAGCAUGUAGGUCUUGAAGACGAGAUGAAGAAUCUUACCUCAUGAAAAACCCAACGACGGUCGGAGUCGCCGGAAUUCGUUGGACACACCGGAGGAACUCGGAGCUUCUCGGCGUCGUUCCUCCUCCUACGGUCGUCGAUCGAAGAAACCAAUGCUAGGAACGCGUCAGGGAGCUCAAGGCGGUCCAGUUGGUGGUGGUCCGUCGUCGGAAAGCCACCGGAUGGCGAGACGGCGUUGGUGAUCGAUACUCGGUGUCGGGGAGAAAGGUGAAGUCGGUCUGACGACUUUGACUGAUCCAACUCAUAAUUAUACUCAUCACCGACUUCAAUCCCACGGCUGUUAUUAAACGGUGUAGUUUUCAACGAUCCGAAUCUCACUGUAGAAAUAUCCAAUUUCUCUAAAGGGAAAACGUUAAUUUAAUACUAAUUAUAAGGAUUAAUUGUCCAUUUUAAUGAAAAUCUGUUUACUAUGCCCAAUUACACAUAUCUUAAGAUAAAUAUCUUUAACUCUAUUAAUAACCAUCUCAUCUCUCUCCUCUCUCUCUCUCUCUCUCUCUCUCUCUCUCUCUCUCUCUCUCUCUCUCUCAAGCUCCGCCGUUCUGCUUCUCUGAUCCGGCCACAAAGUUCGCCUGGAUCUACGUCGCCGUCGUGGUCUUCAACGAUCUACGCUAGGAGAAGAAGGAGAAAGAUCUCCUUGGAUCCAUGAAGUUGUCCCACUGCCGAUCGACUCCUCCGACCAGUAAUACAACCGCCACAUCGUCGCCGACCUACUCUUCGUCGCAGGUGAAGUUUUCGGCGUUCCUUCCUCAGCGAUCAAGUCCACCUCGUUCUACCACAAGACCGGCGUCAAAUGGCACGAGCUUUGAAAGUUCGACCUCGUUUCGUCGUGCUUCGAGAGAGCCACCGAUUUGCUCUCGAAGAUCGGAAUCGACACAAUCUCCGACGCCGGCGAGAAGAAGCUGUUUAUGGAUUUGAGCAUCGCGAGGUCAAAAACCACUUGGGAGGUAUCGGACCGGAAUCUCGCAGUGGCGCUGUUGAACCGGGCCAAGAGCUUGCUGUUCGGGUCACCAGAGCACUACAAAACCCUAGCCAAUCAGUACUCGGUGUUCGGAAAGAGCGCUCUGUGGAACAGCGAGAGUAGCUCUCUGAACGAGGCUCUGGAGCUCUACGAGAAGGGGCUGCGCAUGGUGAGGACGCGCGAAGAGACGGCGGAUCUCAAGGCGUCAAGGUCGAAGACACUGCGGUUCAUCUCGGCCGUUCAUUUGUAGAUGAAUGAGUUCGAGAGCAUGAUCAAGUGCAUGAGGGUGUUGUGAGACGGCGACGCAGGUGAUCAGCACCCUAGCCUUCCGAUGAUGGCGAUGAAGGCGUGGUUGGGGUUAGGGAAGUACGGCGAGGCGGAGAAGGAGCUCAGGGGCAUGGUGGUAAAUAAUGGCAUUCUCGAGAGGGCUUGGGUUUCGGCGGUGGAGGCUUACUUACUUUGGGUUAUGGAAUUGGUAAGGUUCUUUGUUCUAUUGCAAGUAUUAAACUUUGGAGUUUGGACUUUUUAGGCAUUCAAUUCAAUUGGUUUGUUAUCUGAACUUUACAGCGCUGCUGAAUUUCCGGUUGAAAGAUUUAUGUAACAAGUGCAUACCUGUUUGAGAAAGCAAUGUUGUAUAUCCCAUUCGACAUAGAGAAUCAAAUUCUUCGAGCCAUGGGCUUUUAUGCAUUUGGGGGGCAGUAACGGGGUUUCUGGGGUCUGAAAGUUAGUUUUUAAGGGUUAGAAACCAAGUUUCUACAAUAUUUGGAGCCAAUAAGUUGAUUACUAGGGAUCAGUAACUGAGUUACUAGGGAUUGCUGGGGGUCAGUAAUCGAUUAUUGGGGGUCAGUAACGAAGUUUUUUGGGUCAGUAACUGAAUUUCUAGGGGUUAAUAACUGAGUUUCUAGGGUCAGUAACUGAGUUACUAGGGGUCAGUAACCGAGUCCAGCAACCGGAGUUCGGCGGCCGGUGUCCGGAGUCCGGCGGCCAGUGUCCGGAGUCCGGUGGCCAGUGUCCAGAGUCCGGCAGCUAGUGUCCGGUGACCGGAGUCCGGCGACCGGUGUCUGGAGAUCCGGUGAGCUGCCGGCAAAGUCUUUUCUCUCUCUCUUACACUUUCUUUCUCUAAGCUUAUAUAUAAGGACCUAGGGUAAAAAUGUCUCAAAAAUAUUAUUUUAUUAUAAAUUUAAUAAAGAUUUGUGUAUUUGGGCACAAAUUAGUCUUUCUUUCAUUUAAGGGAAAAAGCCCUAAUGCACAAAAUAGAAAACGUCAAACCCCAUUUCAAUGAUAAUCUUUUUUAUUAGCCCAUUUGAAUACAAGGUACUUAUUUUAAGCCCAAAUACACAAAUCUUUAUUAAAAUAUAAUAAAAUUAUAUUUUUAAAGACUUUUUUACCCUUAGCUUUUACUUAAAGAGAAAAAGUGAAAAAGAUGGAGGGAAGACUUUGCCGGAAGCACACUGGGCUCCGGCGCCAGUCACUGGCGGCCGUAUUCCGGUCGCCGGACUCCGAACUCCGGAAUCCGGUCACCGGUGACCGGAAUUUUCCGACGACCGGAAAAUUGCCUAGUAAACUUUUACUACCCCCAGUAAUCUUUUUUACUACCCCUAGUAAACUUUUACUGAGGGUAGUAAACUCAAAAUAAAGUUUCUCCAUGACCAUUAUACACCUUAAAACAAUGAAAAAUCAACUUAGAUGCGAAAAAUUGAGUUUACUACCCCCAGUAAACUUUUACUAGGGGUAGUAAACUUGCAAAACAGUAGCUCCAAUGUCAUAAUUCACUUUGAAAAGGAGAAAAAAUCAACUUAGAUGCAAAAAAAUGAAGUUUACUACCCCUAGUAGUAAACUUUUACUGGGAGUAGUAAACUUGCAAAACAGUAGCUUCAAUGCCAUAAUUCACAUUGAAAAGGAGAAAAAUCAACUUAGAUGCAAAAAAAUGAAGUUUACUACCACUAGUAAACUUUUACUACCCCUAGUAAACUUUUACUGGGGUAGUAGGGGUAGUAAACUUGCAAAACAGUAGCUCCAAUGCCAUAAUUCACAUUGAAAAGGAGAAAAAUCAACUUAGAUGCGAAAAAAUAAAGUUUACUACCCCCAGUAAACAAUUGUCAUUAACAUACAAGAAUCCAUAUGCAUUACCAGUUUAAGUGCCGAAAGAGCUUGGCUGACAUAUAGAAUGAGCCUCAGUUUUUGUUGCAGAGCCAACAAAUUACUCCUGGUAACAUUGAGCUCCUGAAUCUGCCUAGCCGAGUCCACCAAAUCCACAUCCAACAGCGAAUUGGUCUCCUUGAGCUCCCUUAUCCGAUUGCAUCCCUCCACGAUCUUCACAUUCAAGUCUUCCAGCUGCCCCUGCGCCUCGAAAAACGAGUUCGAUCGUAGCGAGAUCUCCUUCACCAGGUGAAGCUCCACCACGUCCAUGUAAUGCGUCAGCUUCUCCGGAGAACGGGCACGCCGACUUGAAGGUGGCGCAGUCCUCGAGAGCGAAGUCCUCCUUGAAAUAGAGGGCGAGGACUUCGCGGAGACACGCGACGAGAGCCUCGCCCUGGCCGCCGAUGGAGUCAAGGUCGUCGAGAUUCUCCUUUCUGAGGUGGUUGAGUAUGUCGUCGAAGCGGUUGUAUUGAUCGGAGAUGGAGGAGAGGUAGGGCUGGAAGUCGGAUCGGGUGAGGGAGUCGGAGGCGGAUUUGGGGAGGAGGGGGAGGAAUUCGGGCGGGGCGGCGACGGAGGCGGAGGAGGGACCACCAGGCGGACCAGGAGGAGGAGGAGGAGGCAUUGGGGUUGUUGAGGAUGGAGGCGAGGCUCUGGCUGGUGCUGCUGCUGGAGCUCGGGUCGGGUAGGGAGUUGGAUCGGGUGUGGGGGGACCUACUGGAGUCCAUCGUCACCGUACUUCUCACAAAGAUUGCGAUGUCUCGCGGCUUGGUGGCGACGAGAGAGGAGACGGCGUCGGCCAAAGAGGGAGGAGAGAGAGAGAGAGAGAGAGAGAGAGAGAGAGAGAGAGAGAGAGAGAGAGAGAGAGAGAGAGAGAGAGAGAGAGAGAGAGAUGAGAGAGAGAGAGAGAGAGUUUUUGAUCGGGAUAAGAGAGGAGAAAGUGAGAAACAGAGAAACAGAGUUAAAUGAGGUCAAGAGUAAUUAUGUCCUUUUAUUAGAAUUCAUUGGAAUGAGGUUGGUAAAGAGUUUUUCAUUGGAAUGGGUAAUAAAUAUUUAAAAUUAGUAUUAAAGUGUCAUUUACUCUUCAUUUAAUUAGGGUUAAGAAUCUUAUUAUUAUUGGAAUGAGCUUUAGUUUUCAAAUAUUUGAGCAUUAGGGCAUUUUUCUUUCUCUAAACUACUUUCUAUGUUAUCAUAAUUCUAAAAAAUAAUAGAAAAUAGCUCGGGACUCCAAUUUAUGUCCCGAAAGUUCCCACAAACUCGUCUUGUCAUGUACUACUCUUGAAUGAAGGAUUUCACCUUUUCCUCCAACAUCUUUUAUAACCAUCAAAAUCAUCAAGGAUUCCUGCAACGAUCUCAAAUUAAGUUAGUCAAAUUUUUCAGGUGUCAGGGAUGUGUUAAUAAAAUUUCUCUAAAAGAAAAUUAAAAAAAUUUGGCUUCGUCUAAACGCAAGGAAUUCCUAUUAUUUAGCCCAUCCCAUUUCCUUUUUUUUUUUUCGUUACAGCCAUCCCAUUUCUUAUUUAAUGACAUUUUACUAGAAAAAUGACAAAUAAAAAACAAAAGAUAUUCUUCCUGCAUUAUCCACGAGGCUCAUCAAUAUUCUAGGUUGUGAUACCAUGAAUACCAAACAAAAUUGAUUUUGUUCCGCACAAAUUGAUGAUAUUUUCCAAAUUAGCUAUAAUCUUAUUAACCCCUACCAUCAAUGGUGAUGGAUUUUAGUAAAUUCCAGAUUGUAUCCACGUAUAUUGAGUCUGGAUAAUUAUCCAAUUAAGCUAAUUAACUGUCGACUAGUUCCUAUAUAAACCUAUCAAAGAGCACCAACCUCAGUCACUCAUCUUCUUCUUCAUUUCUUCAUUUGCCAUCAAGUUAUUUUCUUUUCCACUCGGGCUCCAAUAUAGGUUUUGGUAUACUCAAAAAGACAUCAUGGCUGGCGGCUUUGGAGCGCCGGCACACGGAGGUGACAGACAGUUUGAGGCAAAGAUCACGCCGGUUGUGAUUAUUUCUUGCAUAUUGGCUGCUAGCGGAGGCCUGAUGUUUGGUUAUGAUAUUGGUAUUUCAGGUACAUACCUAUAUGCAUAGGUUUCAUCUCUCAAAUGUAUUAUGAUAUUGCUAUUAGAUUUCAUCUCAAUAGUCUGGGUGUCAAGAUUGAUAUAUUCAAAUUUGUACGAUUUUGAUACGAGAUCCGAAUUUGAAUGCCUUUUUAUUUUCUCGAUCAUUCAUUUUUUCAUAUCAGAACAAAAUUAAUUUUUUAACUUGAGAGAUAAAUACAUCCAUGGAAUUAUGUCCAAAACGAAUACCCCAAAAUCAGCAACUAGUCUCCAGUUAUUACAUCUUGGAUCCAAGGCGGUCCUUGAUUCUUACUUCGUUAUAACAAAAAUCACACGUAAUUAUAAAUAUUUAGUAUGUGUCCCUUUUAUAAUAUAAUAAAUUUGAAUCCAAGACUUGUCUUUUAUUUUUGGUCAAUGAAUUGGAUAGGUUUUAGGAAUUAAUAGAAUAUGUCCAACUCCAAGUUAUAACGAUUCAAUUACAAUGCACUCGUGAAGUUUACAUUAAAAUUUAACACAUAUACAUGAUUUAAAAGUCACAGUUAUCAGUAUGAAUAAUAAAUAAUAAUAGAUAACCAUGUGAAAUAAGUUUACAUUAAAAUUUAACACAUAUACAUGAUUUAAAAGUCACAGUUAUCAUGGAACGGAUCUUGAUCAGGACUCGUAAACGGGUUUGGAUUGAAAAUUUGACCAGUUGAUCCUUUAAGGACUUGGAUCCAUUAACCCAUUUAUUAACCGGAUCAGAUACGGAUUGAGGUUGAUCCGAUCCGUUAAGGAGGCGGAUCCGUUUUAAAAUAUUAAAUAAUAUUUUUAUAAAUAUAAUAUUACUAAUAAAUAUUAAAUAAUAUAAUAAUUAUUUGAAUUACCUAAACGUGUAAAAUGCGUCUAAAGUAUGAUUUGAUGAAGUUGAAGGUUACUGAUACCUAUGUUCUUUUUAUGCUCUUUGUUAAAAACAUUAGAGGUCUAGUAUUUUGAUUAUAAUACUUUAUUGUUAAGAAGUAUUUUGACCAUGUAAUUCAACUUUUGAUGUAAACAUUUAUUUUUUUUUAUAAUAUUUUAUUAGUGUUUUAUGAAAAUUUAUGAUAAAAUUAAGAAAUUAUUAUUUAAAAUUUGAAAAUAUUUAUUAUUAUAAACGGAUCGGAUUAACGGGUCGAGUAUCCAUUAACCCGUCAGAUCCGGAUUUGGAUUGAGCUAUCAAUGAUCUGGUAGGUAACGGGUCUGAUCCAGAUCUAAAAUUUCUAUACGGAUCCAGAUCCGGAUCUAGGUCGAUCUGCUCCAGACCUAGAUCCGGUCCAUUUUACAGGUCUAAAUAAGCAUAAUUGGCCCCACAAUAAUUUAUACAUUAACAAUAUUGACGUAAAUGUGUGAAUAAAAAACAGUCACAUAAUUCGCAUAUAUUUCUGUACAUCGGAUAAAUUAGUUUUUUUUAAAAAAAGAUGAUAGAUUUAUUAUUAUUAUUUUAAAUUGUUAAUUUUUAUACUAUGUGAAUUGCUGUGUAUUAGAUAGGUCAUAUGUCAACAACUCAAAAUGAGAUCAUUUGUCUGAAAUAUAAAUCUCCAUAGAUCAGAAAAUGUCUUGAUGUUCUCUUUAAUUAAUUAGGGCGACUAAAAGUAAAGAUGUUACUGCUUGGACAAAAGUUUAAUAAUUGUUAAUUUUGAUGCAUGAAGGGGGAGUUACAGCCAUGCCUCAAUUCCUGAAGAAAUUUUUUCCGGUUGUCUACAAAAAGACCCAGGAGAAAGGAAUUGAGAGCAAUUACUGCAAAUACGACAAUCAAGGCCUGCAGUUGUUUACAUCUUCACUGUACCUCGCUGCAUUAACAGCAACGUUUGCAGCAUCACACACAACAAGAAAUCUAGGCCGAAAAGCAACCAUGUUGAUUGCUGGACUUUUCUUCAUACUCGGAACUGUUUUCAACGCUGCAGCUAUGAACCUUCUCAUGCUUAUAAUUGGGAGGAUCUUACUUGGUUGUGGAGUUGGUUUUGCUAAUCAGGUUUCUUAAUCUUCUCUUUAACUACGAACUAUUAUACUAGAUUAGUUUUCCUCUAUAUGGUUUUAAUUUGCUUUAAACAGUGUAUAAUGUUAAUAGUAUUACAUCGUGAGUUUCAGGCGGUGCCGCUGUUCCUUUCUGAGAUUGCACCUACGAGAAUCCGUGGAGCACUCAACAUUCUCUUCCAGCUCAAUACGACCGUUGGCAUUCUUUUUGCGAACCUUGUCAAUUAUGGUACUGCCAAGUAAGACCAGUUUCCCCAAGACUAUUUGAUUUUACUGCUUUACUACAUGAAACUUUUUAGGCUCUUUAGCCUUUACCUUGAUUAAGACAAAGGGAGCAUAUCGCUCAAUUUAUGUGAUCGUAAUGUACAGUUCAAAAGGGUAGUAACUUGCUAGCUCUGGAGCACUCGUAUAAAUUAAAGCAUAAAUAAGACCUUAUUUUGAGAACUUAUUAACAUUUGAUAUUUUGUGCUAUAACAGAAUUUCAGGGGGAUGGGGAUGGAGGCUAUCUUUAGGAUUGGCCGGUGUUCCUGCAGUUAUGUUAACCUUGGGGUCUCUUAUUGUGGUAGACACUCCUAACAGUUUGAUUGCACGGGGUAAGUUGGUGGAAGGAAAAGCAGCUCUUAAAAAGAUUCGAGGUGUCAGCAAUGUUGAACCGGAAUACUUGGAGAUUGUGGAGGCAAGUCGUGUGGCUUCCGAAGUAAAGCAUCCCAUGAAAAAUCUUCUAAAGCGCCGAAACAGACCUCAACUGGUGAUUGCAGUUUGUAUGCAGAUCUUCCAGCAAGUCACUGGCAUUAACGCAAUCAUGUUUUAUGCUCCAGUUUUGUUCAGCACCGUAGGCUUCAAAAGCGAUGCUUCCCUUUACUCUUCUGUCAUAACAGGAGCCGUCAAUGUCCUCUCCACCUGUGUUUCAAUCUACUCGGUGGACAGACUUGGUCGUCGCAUGCUCUUGCUACAAGCCGGUGUCCAAAUGUUCAUUUCUCAAAUUGUGGUAGCGGUAGUUCUUGGUAUCAAAGUUAAGGAUCAUUCUGAAAGCCUCACUCCGGGCUUGGCAUUACUUGUGGUGGUGAUGGUGUGCACAUUUGUUGCGGGGUUUGCAUGGUCUUGGGGGCCUCUCGGGUGGUUGAUCCCUAGUGAGACUUUUCCACUUGAGACUCGUUCGGCCGGCCAGAGUGUUACAGUCUGUGUUAACAUGGUCUUCACAUUUAUUAUAGCACAAGCCUUCCUAUCAAUGCUUUGUCACUUCAAGUUUGGCAUCUUCCUAUUCUUCUCGGCUUGGGUUUUGGUCAUGUCAGUCUUUGUGCUGAUAUUGCUUCCUGAAACUAAGAAUGUACCUAUUGAAGAGAUGACAGACAGAGUCUGGAGGCAACAUUGGUACUGGAGGAGAUUUAUGGAUGAUGACGAAAACGGUGAUGCUUGAUUGUGUAAGCUCGGUUCAGAUUCUUCUUCCAAAAAGAAAUCUUGCAGUAGUAGUUCUUUCAAUAUUUAAGUUGUCCUUUGAGGAUUGCUAUUAUAAACAUUUUGUAAUUUUCAGUUUCCACACCUUGAGACAUUUGCCAUUUGUAUCCAAUAUGUAUCAUUGGGAAUCUUAGAUCAUCAUAUUUUCUUAUUUUAACUGUUCAGUCUUUAAGUAUAUAUGAAUAGGUAAAUUUGUAGUGAGUUCAAUUAUAUGUAAAUUUGUAAAACAAAUUACAUUCCAAACUCGAACACAUCCUAAUUAAAUUCCAAAUAGAUUUACAACAUUGACUACAAAAUUACAUUCCAAACUCGAACACAUCCUAAGUUCCUAACUGCAAUCCCAAGUAAUAAUGUACUACUUUAUUCAAAGCACCUUCAAUUAAUGGCUGCUUGCAUGCUUUUUCUGCAACUCAGCUGGAGAUCUACAAUAUAUGAAAAACCAGAUACAUAGUUAUAACUUUGAGUAUUGAUAAUUCAGAGCAAGUGAACUGGCAUCUUUUGGUUAAAAUGCUCAAAUUUUAAAAGGUGUCUGUGUUACUUAAUCUUCUUUUCACAUAGUUUUAUUGGAAUUUGGAAAAACAUGAGCAUGUAUCUUAUUUUAGCGUGGAAGGGAGAUAAGAAAAACAUGAGAAGGGAAGGAAGGAAUACAAGAUAGAAAUGGAGAAGAAAAAAAGGAAUGUAGAUGAGAGGAGGAUUAUUUGGUAGCAGAGGAGUAUAUUACCAAUUAUAAUUAUAUAAAACUCGGACAAGGAAACCAACCAGGUUACAAAGGUUUUUAUGUAUUCUUUGGUAGAGAGGAGUAUAUUUACCAAUAAUAAGUAUAUAAAACUCGGAGGCCUUGUGUGGUGGCACCAAUGUUUUAAAAAACGCGCCUCGGGCGCGAGGCGGUGCUGCAACUGAGUCAGCCUUGAUUGGUUAGGCGUAGAGGCGCAAAAAGCCCAACAGAAGGCGUGAAAAGCGCAAAAGGCGCGGAAGGCGUGCGCCUAGUAUUUUUGAAGAAAACGAGGUCGUUUUGGGUUUUUGACAAUAAAGGCUAGGUUUGGCCCAAACACAGCCUCCCUCUCCCUUUCCUCCUUCUCCCGAUAUGCCUCCUUCCCUCUCCCUCUCCCUCUCUGGCUUUCCCGACUUGCCUCCUUCCAUAAUACGAACACAUAAACCGAUCAGUCGACCACCACCUCGUCAAACAGGAUUCCGACCAGUCGACCAUCGCCUUGUCGCUAUCUUUUGCAACUCUGACGUCCAAGUAGGUGCCGCACCGUCCAAGUCGAGAGUAACCAAGAUUGGGCUUGGCUUCAGCUUCCGAAUCCCUUUGAAUUUGAGGUACGCACAUCUGGGUUCUUCAUUAAUUCUCUAUUAAUUCCUUGAAUUUUGUGAAUUUUGAUUCAUUCCGAUUCAACUGGAAUCUUCUUGACUGUUCAACUUGUAUGAAAUCAAAGCAACGCUGUGUGUUUUCUUAAUUGUACUAGAAUACAUAUGAUGUUUUUCAAUAUAUAGAUUUG